UGGCCUCCGCUCAACUAGUCUGAAGAUGAGGAGCACUGGUUGAUCAUGUCGAGGGAUCCUCAGAGGGUUGGCUCCUUCAUCGUUGUCUUUGACCUCCACUCAACUCAUCUGAGGAUGAGAAAUUAACAACAUCGAGAAAUUUUCGAAGGGUUAGCCCCUUCGUUGUCGUCUUCGAUCUCUACUCAACUUGUCCUAAGAUAGGGAGCACUGAUUGGCUAUGUCGAGGAUCCUCUGGAGGGUUAGCUUCUUCAUCGUUGUCCUCAACCUCC
rnacentral:lncRNA from 1 species